rnacentral:rRNA from 1 species
CCUACGGGAGGCAGCAGUGAGGAAUAUUGGUCAAUGGACGAGAGUCUGAACCAGCCAAGUAGCGUGAAGGAUGACUGCCCUAUGGGUUGUAAACUUCUUUUAUAUGGGAAUAAAAUGUUCCACGUGUGGGAUUUUGUAUGUACCAUAUGAAUAAGGAUCGGCUAACUCCGUGCCAGCAGCCGCGGUAAUACGGAGGAUCCGAGCGUUAUCCGGAUUUAUUGGGUUUAAAGGGAGCGUAGGUGGAUUGUUAAGUCAGUUGUGAAAGUUUGCGGCUCAACCGUAAAAUUGCAGUUGAAACUGGCAGUCUUGAGUACAGGAGAGGUGGGCGGAAUUCGUGGUGUAGCGGUGAAAUGCUUAGAUAUCACGAAGAACUCCGAUUGCGAAGGCAGUUCACUGAACUGCAACUGACACUGAGGCUCGAAAGUGUGGGUAUCAAACAGGAUUAGAUACCCCAGUAGUC